CACUCCCAGCUCGGGGAGGUAGUGACGAAAAAUAACGAUACGGGACUCAUCCGAGGCCCCGUAAUCGGAAUGAGUACACUUUAAAACCUUGGUCACACGAGGAUCAAUUGGAGGGCAAGUCUGGUGCCAGCAGCCGCGGUAAUUCCAGCUCCAAUAGCGUAUAUUAAAGUUGUUGCGGUUAAAAAGCUCGUAGUCGGAUCUGUGUCCUCGCGACGUCGGACCACCAUGUGCUGCCACGGUCUCCGUGCGCGGCCAGGUGUUUGUUCCCGGCGUGUCAGCGGGACGUCCUGCCGGUAGGCGGACACGUGUCCGUCGUGGCGCUUCGCGUCGCACGGAAGGCGGCCGCCGUUUAAAUCUGCGCGUGCGAUACCCUUGUGGUUCGUACGGCGGGCCGGCACGUUUACUUUGAACAAAUUAGAGUGCUCAAAGCAGGCUUUAACGUGGCGGGGUACGCUCCGCGUGCCUNCGUCGUACAGCCCNGAAUAUGGUCGCAUGGAAUAAUGGAACAAGACCUCGGUCCCGCCUCUACGCUGUCCCGCAGCGCGUGAACGUAGCCCUCGCGGCCGUUCCGUGCGCGGGUCGCCGGUCGGGGCCCCGCAUUCGCGUCCGCGUCGCCCGGUCCUUCCCUUGUGGUUGUGUCUCGGUCACCGUGCGCGGGUUACGCACUGUCGGGAAUCACCCCGAUUGUUGGCCGGUUUUCGGGACUGGAGGUAAUGAUCAACAGAGACAGGCGUGGGCAUUCGUACCGCGACGUU
rnacentral:rRNA from 1 species